rnacentral:misc_RNA from 1 species
GAUGAAGAACGUAGCGAAGUGCGAUAAGUAAUGUGAAUUGCAGAAUUCCGUGAAUCAUCGAAUCUUUGAACGCAAAUUGCACUUUCUGGUAUUCCGGAGAGUAUGCCUGUUUGAGGGUCAGUGUAAUAAAUAAAUCGUGGUUGUUACCACCUUUCGUGGUGACGCUUCGGAAUUGAGUCGUCUUACCUUCGGGUUAAGUGACUUAAAAUUUUUUUCAUACGAUUUCGAAACGUAUUUAAUGUAUUAUGUACGUACGUUCACGAAUAUCGAAUGUUUAUUAGGUGCGGUCAUUUUUCAUGAAUCGUGUCUAUAAUUUUUUUUUUUUGACCUCAAAUCAGGUAAGAAUACCCGCUGAACUUAAGCAUAUCAAUAAGCGGAGGA